rnacentral:rRNA from 1 species
UGCAAGUCGAGCGGACAGAUGGGAGCUUGCUCCCUGAUGUUAGCGGCGGACGGGUGAGUAACACGUGGGUAACCUGCCUGUAAGACUGGGAUAACUCCGGGAAACCGGGGCUAAUACCGGAUGGUUGUUUGAACCGCAUGGUUCAAACAUAAAAGGUGGCUUCGGCUACCACUUACAGAUGGACCCGCGGCGCAUUAGCUAGUUGGUGAGGUAACGGCUCACCAAGGCAACGAUGCGUAGCCGACCUGAGAGGGUGAUCGGCCACACUGGGACUGAGACACGGCCCAGACUCCUACGGGAGGCAGCAGUAGGGAAUCUUCCGCAAUGGACGAAAGUCUGACGGAGCAACGCCGCGUGAGUGAUGAAGGUUUUCGGAUCGUAAAGCUCUGUUGUUAGGGAAGAACAAGUACCGUUCGAAUAGGGCGGUACCUUGACGGUACCUAACCAGAAAGCCACGGCUAACUACGUGCCAGCAGCCGCGGUAAUACGUAGGUGGCAAGCGUUGUCCGGAAUUAUUGGGCGUAAAGGGCUCGCAGGCGGUUUCUUAAGUCUGAUGUGAAAGCCCCCGGCUCAACCGGGGAGGGUCAUUGGAAACUGGGGAACUUGAGUGCAGAAGAGGAGAGUGGAAUUCCACGUGUAGCGGUGAAAUGCGUAGAGAUGUGGAGGAACACCAGUGGCGAAGGCGACUCUCUGGUCUGUAACUGACGCUGAGGAGCGAAAGCGUGGGGAGCGAACAGGAUUAGAUACCCUGGUAGUCCACGCCGUAAACGAUGAGUGCUAAGUGUUAGGGGGUUUCCGCCCCUUAGUGCUGCAGCUAACGCAUUAAGCACUCCGCCUGGGGAGUACGGUCGCAAGACUGAAACUC